AAGUUAAUAGUUAUAAAACAGUAUGUCUUGAAAACAUAAAAACAAAAUUAAUUUUUUAUUAACUUU
rnacentral:tRNA from 1 species